rnacentral:rRNA from 1 species
GAUGAACGCUGGCGGCGUGCCUAAUACAUGCAAGUCGAGCGAACGGACGAGAAGCUUGCUUCUCUGAUGUUAGCGGCGGACGGGUGAGUAACACGUGGAUAACCUACCUAUAAGACUGGGAUAACUUCGGGAAACCGGAGCUAAUACCGGAUAAUAUUUUGAACCGCAUGGUUCAAAAGUGAAAGACGGUCUUGCUGUCACUUAUAGAUGUAUCCGCGCUGCAUUAGCUAGUUGGUAAGGUAACGGCUUACCAAGGCAACGAUGCAUAGCCGACCUGAGAGGGUGAUCGGCCACACUGGAACUGAGACACGGUCCAGACUCCUACGGGAGGCAGCAGUAGGGAAUCUUCCGCAAUGGGCGAAAGCCUGACGGAGCAACGCCGCGUGAGUGAUGAAGGUCUUCGGAUCGUAAAACUCUGUUAUGAGGGAAGAACAUAUGUGUAAUUAACUGUGCACAUCUUGACGGUACCUAAUCAGAAAGCCACGGCUAACUACGUG